AAAGGUCGCAAGGACGCUGCGCUCCAUCUGGAGAAAAUAACACUAAUCUAGAGUACUUUCUCCGUUAGGGUCAUGCAUCCGAAACCAUGCGUUUAGGUGCAGCCGUGUGCACGGCAUGACACCAGAGAGGAACGAGCAGUACAGGUGAAAUAACACUUGUGUACCCCAAGGCGACAAAGCUUCUGUUUUUGUGCCUUCGGCUUGCCGACACCGGCGUCUACCAUGGGAAAAGACGCAAGAGCAAAGCGCACGUUUCGAGAAGAAUGGAGAAAGGACAAGAAACUGAGCGGAUGGAUUUCGUCACGUGACGGCGGAACGACUGCUCACUGCAAGUACUGCAAUUGCAACAAUCAACCCCACUACAGUGAUCUGUUGAAGCACGCAGAAACCAAAAAGCACCGCGAGUGCGCAGUAAUCCCAAGUUCGCAACAAAAACUGCCGCAGCUUCUAGCGUCGGUAGUUCUGAACUUAGUGUCACACAUUACUCCCCCCCUCUUCUUUGGCUUCUGGAUUGGAUUGGCGCGGCUCGCUACGUGCUUGCGCGCGCUUUUCCGAGCGCAGAUUGGUGUGCGCCUAGUUUCUGCACUAGGCUGUUAUGCGAUCGCUUUUUCGAGCGCAGAUUGCGGAAGUGCAGCGCCGCGGGCCUACCGUGUAUGGAAGCGCACAGCAAUGCCGGGAAACAUUCAUACAAAAGCAAAGGGUCAGAAAAGUGCGCUUUAUUUUCCAUUACUAUGUCACACUGGGUAGCGCCGUGCGAUCGCUUCUAAUAAACGCAGAAACGAGUCCUUGCAGC